AAAAAAGGGGUGCCCGGAGAGACCUCGAACGGUCUCCUGCCUACGUACCUCAUCUGGUAUGAGGAUCAGGGCGACGUAGUUCCCCUGAACGGGAAAGAAAUUCUAACCAGAUACAAAGGGAGACACACUACUAGGGAGCUGUACUCGAACCUAGAUGUUAUCAUGCAUCAUUGCCCUAUGUUAUGGUUUCUAUCUACGUGCACAACAGCAAGCUAAUCCUAAC
rnacentral:lncRNA from 1 species